GGGGUAGCCAGACUCAUUAGAGCCCCCGGGACCGGGAGGGGCCAGAGACCCGAGGGAAAGAGGUUGAUGCGCCCGCGCGGGCUGACCGCCCACGCGACCAGCGCUCCCCGCCCGCCCCUCCACCGCCGGGUGGCCAGUUUCGAAAAUCCCACCCUCUGCGUACACCUCCACGUUGCUUCCCCGGGCGGAUCCUCCCCGGGGAAGGUCCCAGAGCAACCCUCGCGGCCCAACCGACCCGAGGCCCCUCCGUCUGAUGGCCAGCGAGCCAAGGAAGUAGGAACGAGCAAACAAUUGACCAAAAAAAACUUUCAACAACGGAUCUCUUGGUUCCCGCAUCGAUGAAGAACGCAGCGAAAUGCGAUAAGUAAUGUGAAUUGCAGAAUUCAGUGAAUCAUCGAAUCUUUGAACGCACAUUGCGCCCCCUGGCAUUCCGGGGGGCAUGCCUGUUCGAGCGUCUCCGGGACGAAUCCUCGCGCGAGCAAACGCGUGGUCUUGGCGGCGGUUGGUGGCGUGCCCGAGGCGGCCGCCACCGCGCUGGAAUCGAUGGGCGGACGCCUGCCGCGUGGCCGAGCGUGAUAUGACGCAUUGGCGCUGGCGCGCGGCGAGGCUGCCGGCCCUUCAAGCCCGUCCGUCGGGCUGGGGAGAGCAAGACAUUGGAACUCCUCGAAUCAGGUAGGGAUACCCGCUGAACUUAAGCAUAUCAAAA
rnacentral:rRNA from 1 species